rnacentral:rRNA from 1 species
GAUUGAACGCUGGCGGUAGGCCUAACACAUGCAAGUCGAACGGUAACGGACCGCUGGGAUCCCUUCGGGGUGACCUUGGUGCCGACGAGUGGCGGACGGGUGAGUAACACGUAGGAAUCUGCCCAACAAUGGGGGACAACCCGGAGAAAUCCGGGCUAAUACCGCAUACGCCCUACGGGGGAAAGCGGGGGAUCUUCGGACCUCGCGUUGUUGGAGGAGCCUGCGUCGGAUUAGCUUGUUGGUGAGGUAACGGCUCACCAAGGCGACGAUCCGUAGCUGGUCUGAGAGGACGACCAGCCACACUGGGACUGAGACACGGCCCAGACUCCUACGGGAGGCAGCAGUGGGGAAUAUUGCACAAUGGGCGAAAGCCUGAUGCAGCCAUACCGCGUGUGUGAAGAAGGCCUUAGGGUUGUAAAGCACUUUCAGUUGUGAGGAAUGUGACGUUAACAACAGAAGAAGCACCGGCUAACUUCGUGCCAGCAGCCGCGGUAAUACGAGGGGUGCAAGCGUUAAUCGGAAUUACUGGGCGUAAAGCGUUCGUAGGCGGUUAUUUAAGCAAGAUGUGAAAGCCCCGGGCUCAACCUGGGAACUGCAUUUGGAACUGAUUCGCUAGAGUACAGUAGAGGAUAGUGGAAUUCCCAGUGUAGAGGUGAAAUUCGUAGAUAUUGGGAAGAACACCAGUGGCGAAGGCGGCUAUCUGGACUGAUACUGACACUGAGGUGCGAAAGCGUGGGUAGCGAACAGGAUUAGAUACCCUGGUAGUCCACGCCGUAAACGAUGUCUACUAGCCGUUGGGGGGUUGUCCCCUUAGUGGCGCAGCUAACGCGAUAAGCUGACCGCCUGGGGAGUACGGCCGCAAGGUUAAAACUCAAAUGAAUUGACGGGGGCCCGCACAAGCGGUGGAGCAUGUGGUUUAAUUCGAUGCAACGCGAAGAACCUUACCAGGUCUUGACAUCCUGCGAACUUUCUAGAGAUAGAUUGGUGCCUUCGGGAACGCAGUGACAGGUGCUGCAUGGCUGUCGUCAGCUCGUGUCGUGAGAUGUUGGGUUAAGUCCCGUAACGAGCGCAACCCUUGUCCUUAGUUGCCAGCACGUAAUGGUGGGAACUCUAAGGAGACUGCCGGUGACAAACCGGAGGAAGGUGGGGACGACGUCAAGUCAUCAUGGCCCUUACGACCUGGGCUACACACGUGCUACAAUGGCCGGUACAAAGGGCAGCUAACCCGCGAGGGGGCGCGAAUCCCAUAAAACCGGUCGUAGUCCGGAUUGGAGUCUGCAACUCGACUCCAUGAAGUCGGAAUCGCUAGUAAUCGUGAAUCAGAAUGUCACGGUGAAUACGUUCCCGGGCCUUGUACACACCGCCCGUC